UAUAUUUAAUAUUUCUCAUCUUCUUUCUUUUAAUUUUCUCUUCUCUUCUCUUCUCUUUUUUGGGUUCUCUGCCGAAUUAAUCAGACUGUCGUCCAUGUCCUUUUGGUAUUUUUGUUCCCCUUGAUCUUGACAUGAUAAAAGAUAUCUCCCAAAAGAAAAGAAAGUGAGAGUGGGUCAACUUUUGCCCAUCCAACAUAAAAGGCUAGAGUAAAGAAGUAUUCAGAGGAAUAACUGCUUGCAGAAGGAACCACUUCAUAUGUGGGAGGCAGGUUAAUGAACUUUAGUGGAGUUGGGCACCAUGAGAGUGAGAAUGCUUUGUGAGAUUCAAAGGUUGAGAAGGGCACUGCUGCUGUCGAUUGGCGAUUGGCCGGUUGACAAUAAUAAUGUUAAUAUUAAUAAUGAUAAUGAUAAUAGUAAUGAUAAUCAUAAUGAAGUUAUGUUUUUUCUUUUAGCGUAUGUAUUUUAUUUUAAUCAUACCGGAUCUACCUAAACCUAAUGUAAUGUAUGUUUUGUUUUAUUCUAUUUUGAAUUUUUAUAUGUAUUGAAUGAAAAAAUCUAUAUUUGGUCAGACUUUGACUUUAUUUCUUAUUUAA